rnacentral:rRNA from 1 species
GACGAACGCUGGCGGCGUGCUUAACACAUGCAAGUCGAACGAUGAAGCGGGUGCUUGCACUCGUGGAUUAGUGGCGAACGGGCGAGUAACACGUGAGUAACCUGUCCUUUUCUUUGGGAUAACGGCUGGAAACGGCUGCUAAUACUGGAUAUUCAGGCUGCAUCGCAUGGUGUGGUUUGGAAAGGUUUUUUCUGGGAUUGGGUGGGCUCGCGGCCUAUCAGCUUGUUGGUGGGGUGAUGGCUUACCAAGGCUUUGACGGGUAGCCGGCCUGAGAGGGUGGUCGGUCGAACUGGGACUGAGAUACGGCCCAGACUCCUACGGGAGGCAGCAGUGGGGAAUAUUGCACAAUGGACGAAAGUUUGAUGCAGCGACGCCGCGUGGAGGGUGUAGGCCUUCGGGUUGUGAACUCCUUUUUCUCGCGAAAAAGGCACAGUUUUGGCUGUGUUGAUGGUAGUGGGGGAAGAAGCGCCGGCUAACUACGUG